GCUGCAUGUGCUACAAUACUAGUAGCAUUCCCCAUUUUUUAUCACGUGCAUGUUCUAUAUACUACUUUUGAAAGCAUGGCAAUGCAACUGGUUUCGAAUUUCUUCGUUUUCAAAGGAAAGCAUAACUUGUUGUCUGCUUUCGUUUUUUUCUUUCUUCACACCUCCAAUUAGUCUUCUCAAUCCAACAAGAACAAUCAAAUAGAUAAAUUGGCCGACUUGAAUCACCUGUUUGUGACAGUGUUUCUAGCAAAUUUUGCGUUGAAUGUGAUCCCUCCUGCUAUAACUGAUAUCACCGUUGGCGCACUCUGCCCUGCUCAAGACGAGUGCUCUCUUGCCAUUUAUCUUUCUGGUUUCCAGCACGCUGUCUGUACCACUACCUCUAUCUUUUCUCCUUCAUUCCUUUUACACAAUUAUACUGCGCAAAAAUCAAGUUUAGAACCUAUUCGCUUAUUUAGUCAUUUCGACAAACACAAGGCAUGCAUUAUCUGACUAGAGUGAUUCUACUGAUUUCAGAUCUUAGGACUGGGAUCAAAGCUGAUGCUGCCAUUGCUUGGACAUCUAUCUGAUAUAUAUGGAAGGAAGGCUUUGCUCACAGUUCCGGUGGCUGCCUUCAUUGUUCCGUCAGGUAAUUAAUAAUUAUCUUAGAAGAGGAGCUUUCGAGCAACAGUCAAAGCUGUAUCCAUGUGACCUAUAGUGUGAAAUCAGUGUAGACUGUCUACAUCACGUCCCUUGGGAUGCAUUCCUUCCCCAACCCUGCGUAAACACGAGAUGCUUUGUGCAUCCAGCUAUCAUAUCCUGUCCUUGGGGUCACUCAAUUGAAGAUCCGAUCCGAUGGCUCUAAAGUGAUAAUUAAACAAAACGUUUUGCAGUAAUAUUGGCAAUUGGGAGGUCAACAAACUAUUUCUAUGCUUACUAUGCGAUAAAGACCUUCACUGGCAUGGUCAGUGACAAUGGAAUUGAGUGCCUUUCUAUUGCUUAUGCGGCAGCUAGCAUAUCAGAAGAAAAGUGUGUUUCUGCAAUUGGAGCUGUUGCCCCGCAUAGGCUCAGCUGCAUCUCUUUUUGGUACUAUGGCUGCUCACUUCCUCUCCACUGCUCACAUCUUUUUGGUGGCAGCAAUUUCUUCAAUGGUUGCAGCAAUAUACAUGAGAAUAUUUCUAGAGGAGACAAGCAACCAUAUUCGCAGUGAUGAUGCUCUAAAUCAACCAAUAUUAGGGGAGAGCGGUGCAGAAUGUUCUCAAUCUGGAAGUAAUGACUCAUCAAAAAUAGUAUCACAGAGCUUUAAGAAAGUCCUACCACUCAAGGAUAUUUUCUGCUUGCUCAGGAGCAGCGUAACUCUUUCGCUAGCAACAGUCUUUGCUUUCUUGAAUAGUCAUGGGGAAGGCCGAAGGUGGACAACAAACUCCAUUUUUGUACUUCUUAAAGGCUCGACUUCAAUACAACAAAGACAACUUUGCUGUUUUAAUGCUUAUUGGCUACAGUGGAGCAGCAAUUGGGCAGUUAUUCUUGAUGCCUCGGUUGGCUCCUAUAAUCGGAGAGGAGGCAAUUCUCUCCUUAGCCUUCAUUGCUGGAUUCAUAAACAUGCUAAUUGAUAGCAUUGCAUGGGCAGUCUGGGUUCCUUAUGUUGCUAAUUUAUUGCCUAUCAUUGCCUUCCUAACAAGACCGGCUUUACAAAGCAUUGUUUCGAAACAAG